rnacentral:sRNA from 1 species
GCUGGGUGUCAUGGAGCAUGCCUGUAAUCCCAGCAGCUUGGGAGGCUGAGGCAGGAGGAUUGCGAAUUUGUAGCCAGCCUCAGCAAAAGCAAGGUGCUAAGCAAUUCAGUGAGACCCUGUCUCUA